AGCGUGCACGGUGGAUGCCUUGGCAGCCAGAGGCGAUGAAGGACGUUGUAGCCUGCGAUAAGCUCCGGUUAGGUGGCAAACAACCGUUUGACCCGGAGAUCUCCGAAUGGGGCAACCCACCCGUUGUAAGGCGGGUAUCACCGACUGAAUCCAUAGGUCGGUGAGGCGAACGCGGGGAACUGAAACAUCUAAGUACCCGUAGGAACAGAAAUCAAUUGAGAUUCCCUGAGUAGCGGCGAGCGAACGGGGAUUAGCCCUUAAGCUGAUGACGGAUUAGGAGAACGGUCUGGGAAGGCCGACCAUAGUGGGUGAUAGUCCCGUAUCCGAAAAUCUGAUUCAGUGAAAACGAGUAGGUCGGGGCACGUGUAACCUUGACUGAACAUGGGGGGACCAUCCUCCAAGGCUAAAUACUCCUGGCUGACCGAUAGUGAACCAGUACCGUGAGGGAAAGGCGAAAAGAACCCCGGCGAGGGGAGUGAAACAGAACCUGAAACCGUGUACGUACAAGCAGUGGGAGCCUUCGUAAGAGGGUGACUGCGUACCUUUUGUAUAAUGGGUCAGCGACUUAUAUUCUGUAGCAAGGUUAACCGUAUAGGGGAGCCGAAGGGAAACCGAGUCUUAACCGGGCGUUAAGUUGCAGGGUAUAGACCCGAAACCCGGUGAUCUAGCCAUGGGCAGGUUGAAGGUUGAGUAACAUCAACUGGAGGACCGAACCCACUAACGUUGAAAAGUUAGGGGAUGACUUGUGGCUGGGGGUGAAAGGCCAAUCAAACCGGGAGAUAGCUGGUUCUCCCCGAAAUCUAUUUAGGUAGAGCCUCGGACGAAUUCCAUUGGGGGUAGAGCACUGUUAAGGCUAGGGGGUCAUCCCGACUUACCAACCCUUUGCAAACUCCGAAUACCAAUG
rnacentral:rRNA from 1 species